rnacentral:rRNA from 1 species
CAAUAGCGUAUAUUUAAGUUGUUGCAGUUAAAAAGCUCGUAGUUGGAUUUCGGUUAAGAGCGACCGGUCCGCCGUUUGGUGUGCACUGGUUGGUUUUAACUUCCUGUAGAGGACGUGCUCUGGGUUUAACGACCUGGACUCGGAGUCUACGUGGUUACUUUGAAAAAAUUAGAGUGUUCAAAGCGGGCUUACGCUUGAAUAUUUCAGCAUGGAAUAACACUAUAGGACUCCUGUCCUAUUUCGUUGGUCUCGGGACGGGAGUAAUGAUUAAGAGGAACAGUUGGGGGCAUCCGUAUUUCAUUGUCAGAGGUGAAAUUCUUGGAUUUAUGAAAGACGAACUUCUGCGAAAGCAUUUGCCAAGGAUGUUUNCAUUAA